GGGAUAUUGCACAAUGGGGGAAAGCCUGAUGCAGCGACGCCGCGUGAGCGAAGAAGUAUUUCGGUAUGUAAAGCUCUAUCAGCAGGGAAGAAAAAUGACGGUACCAGAGUAAGAAGCAACGGCUAAAUACGUGCCAGCAGCCGCGGUAAUACGUAUGGUGCAAGCGUUAUCCGGAUUUACUGGGUGUAAAGGGAGCGCAGGCGGUGCGGCAAGUCUGAUGUGAAAGCCCGGGGCUCAACCCCGGGACUGCAUUGGAAACUACCGAACUAGGGUGUCGGAGAGGUAAGUGGAAUUCCUAGUGUAGCGGUGAAAUGCGAAGAUAUUAGGAGGAAAACCAGUGGCGAAGGCGGCUUACUGGACGAUAACUGACGCUGAGGCUCGAAAGCGUGGGGAGCAAAC
rnacentral:rRNA from 1 species